rnacentral:rRNA from 1 species
UACGGAGGGUGCAAGCGUUAUCCGGAUUUACUGGGCUUAAAGGGUGCGCAGGCGGAUAUGUAAGUCAGUGGUGAAAUCUCUGGGCUUAACCCGGAAAUUGCCAUUGAUACUAUAUAUCUUGAAUGCUGUGGAGGUAAGCGGAAUAUGUCAUGUAGCGGUGAAAUGCUUAGAGAUGACAUAGAACACCUAUUGCGAAGGCAGCUUACUACGCAGAUAUUGACGCUCAUGCACGAAAGCGUGGGGAUCAAACAGG